rnacentral:rRNA from 1 species
ACUGAACGCUGGCGGCAUGCUUUACACAUGCAAGUCGAACGGUAACAGGCCGCAAGGUGCUGACGAGUGGCGAACGGGUGAGUAAUGCAUCGGAACGUGCCCAGUCGUGGGGGAUAACGCAGCGAUAGCUGUGCUAAUACCGCAUACGAUCUAUGGAUGAAAGCGGGGGACCGUAAGGCCUCGCGCGAUUGGAGCGGCCGAUGUCAGAUUAGGGAGUUGGUGGGGUAAAGGCCUACCAAGCCGACGAUCUGUAGCUGGUCUGAGAGGACGACCAGCCACACUGGGACUGAGACACGGCCCAGACUCCUACGGGAGGCAGCAGUGGGGAAUUUUGGACAAUGGGCGCAAGCCUGAUCCAGCAAUGCCGCGUGCAGGAAGAAGGCCUUCGGGUUGUAAACUGCUUUUGUACGGAACGAAACGGUCUGGGUUAAUACCCUGGGCUAAUGACGGUACCGUAAGAAUAAGCACCGGCUAACUACGUGCCAGCCGCCGCAGUAAAAC